UACAGAGGGCGCGAGCGUUGUCCGGAAUCACUGGGCGUAAAGGGUGCGUAGGCGGCCGCGCAAGUCUGGCGUGAAAGCCCCGGGCUCAGCCCGGGAAGGGCGCUCGAAACGGCGCGGCUCGAGUGCCGGAGGGGAGAGUGGAAUUCCUGGUGUAGCGGUGAAAUGCGUAGAUAUCAGGAGGAAUACCGGUGGCGAAAGCGACUCUCUGGACGGCAACUGACGCUGAGGCACGAAAGCGUGGGGAGCAAACAGG
rnacentral:rRNA from 1 species